GCGUAAAGCAACGACAACACACGUGAGCAACCACCAAACCUCCAUAUUUCGGGACGCUCCUCAUCACUGUCACGCGGUGUCAACUUCAACGGCGAUAGACAGAAAAGUAGCAAGGGGGCAUAAGCCUAUGCGCUGGAGUUUGUCUUCUUCCUCCGCGUUCUUCUCUGUUUCAUACGAUUUCCAGCAGCCUACAACCUUCGAAUCGUCCUUCAUCCUCCAGGUGUCGCAAUCCCAAGCCGCCUUUGUCCUUGCCACGAGAUCGAAUGGUUUCCCUAUUUUUCCCGUUGCAUUUGUGAGGAUAGAUGAAUUCGCACUGUAGGCUAUUAUCAAUUAAGAGUUUGACUUUUGAAAGG
rnacentral:misc_RNA from 1 species